UUUGCAAUUCUUAUUUAGUAAUUGAAAACAACUCACAAUGUACUGUUUUUCUUCUCUGUUUAAAUAUUUAGGGCAUUUUCAUCCUCAAAACAGCUAUUGGGUAUAACUUUCUCAAGUUGUAUUUGCAAUUAUCUCACCUUUGAAAGUGAGGAAAAGAAACCAGGUGAGAGUCUGUGCAGGAGAAAUUGCUAACAGAAUGUUGCGGGCUAUCAUUUUACAUUGGAGAAUAAAAUCAUAUAGGAUAUGUGUUGUUAGGGAAUUCACUGCAAGUGAGCUAAUUUCUACCCACUACAUGAUUUUAGAGCUGAGCAAGCCUUUUUAUAGUAAAUCUAAACAUACUUGUUUUUCUACAAUUAAUUUGUUUUCGAGCUGUAUUCGUCUUUUAAAUGAUUAAGAAAUCCAUAGACUUUGGAUAUCAAAAGAGGAUUUGAUGUUAGGUUUAACUAAAAUUGGCCUUUAUUUUAAGCUACCUUUUUAUCCAAUUGUAGAAAAAUGUAACUAGGGCAAGUCUAGGUUUAAAAAAAUUCCUAGACUUAGUUUUGUUUUCAGCCAUUCAGUGUUGUUGUAAUAAUUGAUAUUUUUUUCUUUCCUUAUUUGUCCUCCUCAGUUCUUGCUAUAACUCUGCUCAGUGUUGAAGGAAUUCUGGGGACAAGGUUGGUAGAUGUACAACACCAGGAUAUCAAGAGAAGAUAAUUGGCUACACUGGCAUUCACUGAAAGUACACAAGAAAAUGUAUCCUGCAACUGCAAAUCCAUGUUACAAAGAAAAGGAAGUCAUCUGAAAGAAUUCAACUACAAGUAGAGAAAUUCACUUCAAAUAGUUAUAAUUAAAAUGAUAUUAUUAUUACCUCGAAGUUCUUAUUACCAAAACAGAGAGAUGGAGUAAGUUUUGCAAUUGGUGGAAACUGUCAGAAAGUCUCUGCUUUCUUAUUUAUACACCUUUAUCUACAGGUAUGGCCCUUACAGCUAUAGGAGAGGGAACUUCAGCACUUGCCAUGACUACAUGGGAAGAUCUCUGCAAGAAUGCAACAUUGCUGGGUGACUAAGUCCUUUGUUACCUGGCCAGCUGUUCUCUAUUCUAAUGAACGUCAUUUCAGCCACUGCACUAGAAGAUUGCUUUGUAAGUACCUCAGUGAAAUUCUGCUAUGAGAAUCUUUUGAAUUUCUACUUU
rnacentral:sRNA from 1 species